rnacentral:tRNA from 1 species
GACUGCGUAGCUCAGUUGGAAGAGCAUUGGGCUAGUAUUCCAAAGGUCGUAGGUUCGAAUCCCACUGUGGCCG